AUGGAGCCAGAGAUGAGAACCGUUGUUGUGAUGUUUGCAAUGAGCACAGCUAAACAACACCCAGCAGGAUUACUGGAAGACCUAGGGCCUCGGCAGAAGAGGAAGCAGGAAAAGGGAAAAAAAAUAGGUGAUUUGGCAAGAGAAAUUUUUUUUUUUUUUUGAGACAGAGUUUCGCUCUUGUUACCCAGGCUGGAGUGCAAUGGCGCAAUCUCGGCUCACCGCAACCUCCGCCUCCUGGGCUCAGGCAAUUCUCCUGCCUCAGCCUCCCGAGUAGCUGGGAUUACAGGCACGCGCCACCAUGCCCAGCUAAUUUUUUGUAUUUUUAGUAGAGACGGGGUUUCACCAUGUUGACCUGGAUGGUCUCGAUCUCUUGACCUUGUGAUCCACCCGUCUCGGCCUCCCAAAGUGCUGGGAUUACAGGCGUGAGCCACCGCGCCCGGCCCGCUAACCCACUUUUAAGAACAGCAACAACAAGUUUCACAUUAAAUUUUUAUCGUUCUGGUUGUCAGCAUAAAUUCUGAAAAUAUUCUGUAGACAAUGGUAAUAUGUUAAAAUCAUUCAGGCGGUCAUUAUAUCCAUUAAUUAAUAAAGUCCUGCAUGUUUUUAUAUAUUGAAUCACACACUCUGCCCUGACUUCACUAUACAUUUUCAUUUUCCCAUAUUUGGCUUGUCCUGGAAUGCUUUCUGUCAUGGAAGUCACAAACCAGAUGCCCAUGCUGAAAAUUAAAUCUGCCGAUGUCUUUCAUUUAUUUUGUGUAGUUUCAUUUACAGAUUUGAAUUAGAUACAUAUACUUCAAAAGUCAACAAUUUCACAUGAAAUUUCCAUAUUAUCUUGAAAAAUCAGAACAUCUGGCAGCUGUGGGCCCAUGGGCUUCCGUAACAAUGGCCAGAGCUGCCUCGUGGCUGCCACGUUGAUAGGAGUUAAGCUUCUGGUUGUUCACUGUUGGUAUCACUCCCAUUUGCUUUUCUUCCCUCAGCUAAAUUCAUUCCCUGAAAGCAUCUGUCUCCUGUAAGAUUUGAGCUUAUGACCUUGGGGUAGAAGCCAGAUUAUCUCUCAAGGCUACCUAGGUUUGCCCAAGCUUGUUUCCAUUAGCAUUAUAUUUCUUUUUCCUCCACAAAUUCAAUGUAGUUGUUUUGUAAAAUUGGUCUCCUCAACUCAGAUGGUCAGCUUCUAAGGGUGGAAUCUAGCUCCUUCCCACUUCGUCUCUGACAGUACC
rnacentral:lncRNA from 1 species